rnacentral:pre_miRNA from 1 species
CAUGUACUCCCUCCGUUCGGAAUUACUUGUCUUGGAAAUGGAUGUAUUUAGAACUAAAAUACGUCUAGAUACAUCCAUUUCUGCGACAAGUAAUUCCGAACGGAGGGAGUAUAUA